AGUGGCUCAUUCACCUUCUUAUGUCAGCCCCUUCGGGAAGCGCUACAUAAACUUCGAAUGACGCACAACAAGGUGCCUGCCGUCCAACUUCUGAUAAUAGCGUCGCUUUAUCAACCACCGGGCGAAACGUCGAGUUAGGCACCGCCUU
rnacentral:sRNA from 2 species